UGGUGCUACCAUAUUCUGGUCCUACUCUCCAGAGGGCAGUGGUGGAUUUCUGGCUGGCUUCAGAGGCAUUUGGUGCAGGGACAGAGUGUUCUGCUGCACCAAUUCAAAUUCAUAGGCAGACUGGGAGUUGACAGUUUCACUGUCUGUUCUCAAAUUAGCAUUCUCAUUUCUGAACGUGUUUUGUAAUCUUUAUCUGCUGACACUCCCGAGGAUUGGAACAUCAGGGGAAUGCUGACAGGAUAUGAAUUUUCUAGCUUCUAAGCCAGCCCUCAAGAUGAUUGCUCCAAAGAAGAAGACCAUGGAGAAACUGAGCAGAGUGUUUGACAGACUCUUGGAGACAAAAAGAAAAAACGAACAUUUCGGGCCUAUCCUAGGGAAAAUAACAGAUGUUUUAAAGACUUUAUUUGGAAUUCCCAAGGGUUUUCUUCAAAAGUUAGGAGAAGUAAACACCAGAGCUGAAAGUGA